GUGCCAGCCGCCGCGGUAAGACGAAGGAUGCAAGCGUUAUCCGGAUUCAUUGGGUUUAAAGGGAGCGUAGGUGGCCUUAUAAGUCAGUGGUGAAAUCUCGCAGCUUAACUGUGAAAUUGCCAUUGAUACUGUAGGGCUUGAGUACAGAUGCCGUUGGCGGAAUAUGACAUGUAGUGGUGAAAUACAUAGAGAUGUCAUAGAACACCGAUUGCGAAGGCAGCUGACGAAACUGUAACUGACACUGAGGCUCGAAAGUGCGGGGAUCAAACAGGAUUAGAUACCCCCGUAGUCC
rnacentral:rRNA from 1 species